rnacentral:rRNA from 1 species
AUUGAACGCUGGCGGCAGGCUUAACACAUGCAAGUCGAACGAGUGGCGGACGGGUGAGUAAUGCUUGGGAAUCUAGCUUAUGGAGGGGGAUAACUACGGGAAACUGUAGCUAAUACCGCGUACCCUAGGAUGAGCCCAAGUGGGAUUAGGGAGUUGGUGAGGUAAAGGCUCACCAAGCCGACGAACCCUAGCUGGUCUGAGAGGAUGACCAGCCACACUGGGACGGAGACACGGCCCAGACGCCUACGGGAGGCAGCAGGGGGGAAUCUUCCGCAAUGGACGAAAGUUUACGGCGCAACGCCGCGGGAGUGAUGACGGGCUUCGGGUUGUAAAGCUCUGUUAAUCGGGAGACGGUACCGGAAUAGAAAGCAACGGCUAACUACGUGCCAGCAGCCGCGGUAAUUC